rnacentral:rRNA from 1 species
AGAGUUUGAUCAUGGCUCAGGAUGAACGCUGGCGGCGUGCCUAACACAUGCAAGUCGAGCGGUAUAUAUUGGAUUGAAACUUCGGUCGAAUGAAGAUAUAGAGAGCGGCGGACGGGUGAGUAACGCGUAGGCAACCUGCCCCAUACACAGGGAUAGCCUCGGGAAACCGGGAUUAAAACCUGAUAACGCGGGAUGUUCACAUGGACAUUUCGCCAAAGAUUUAUCGGUAUGGGAUGGGCCUGCGUCUGAUUAGCUAGUUGGUGGGGUAACGGCCUACCAAGGCGACGAUCAGUAGCCGACCUGAGAGGGUAAUCGGCCACAUUGGAACUGAGACACGGUCCAAACUCCUACGGGAGGCAGCAGUGGGGAAUAUUGCACAAUGGGCGAAAGCCUGAUGCAGCAACGCCGCGUGAGCGAUGAAGGCCUUUGGGUCGUAAAGCUCUGUCCUUGGGGAAGAAAAAAAUGACGGUACCCUUGGAGGAAGCCCCGGCUAACUACGUGCCAGCAGCCGCGGUAAUACGUAGGGGGCAAGCGUUAUCCGGAAUUAUUGGGCGUAAAGAGUGCGUAGGUGGUUUUGUAAGCGCGGGGUGAAAGGCAAUAGCUCAACUAUUGUAAGCCCUGCGAACUGUGAGACUUGAGUGCAGGAGAGGAAAGUGGAAUUCCUAGUGUAGCGGUGAAAUGCGUAGAUAUUAGGAGGAACACCAGUGGCGAAGGCGACUUUCUGGACUGUAACUGACACUGAGGCACGAAAGCGUGGGGGAGCAAACAGGAUUAGAUACCCUGGUAGUCCACGCCGUAAACGAUGAGCACUAGGUGUCGGGGGGCCGCAAGGUUUCGGUGCCGCAGUUAACGCAUUAAGUGCUCCGCCUGGGGAGUACGCACGCAAGUGUGAAACUUAAAGGAAUUGACGG